CAGUCGCCACGGUAAUACAGAGGGUGCAAGCGUUAAUCGGAAUUACUGGGCGUAAAGCGCGCGUAGGUGGUUUGUUAAGUUGGAUGUGAAAUCCCCGGGCUCAACCUGGGAACUGCAUUCAAAACUGACUGACUAGAGUAUGGUAGAGGGUGGUGGAAUUUCCUGUGUAGCGGUGAAAUGCGUAGAUAUAGGAAGGAACACCAGUGGCGAAGGCGACCACCUGGACUAAUACUGACACUGAGGUGCGAAAGCGUGGGGAGCAAAUAGGAUUAGAGACCCCCGUAGUCCCUGUCUCUUAUAC
rnacentral:rRNA from 1 species